UUUAAACAAAAAAAAAAAAAGUUGAAACUUUUAUUAAUUCUAUCCAAAGUUGGUGCUGUUACAUGAUUCUGUAGUGAUUCUAAAAUUACAUUUCAUACACAAAUGGAUGAUGACAUAAUAAAUCUUGCAAUUAUUCUAUUUUACAUUGUUGAAAGUGCAAAACCGUUAUGUUUCCACUUUCUCUAUGAUGACAUUAUCUGCAGAGCUUCUCUUUUAUUUCCAAGUAUGUUGAGUACUGUUGCUGCAACGUGAGAUGGCGUUAGACCAGCCUCUAUCAACUGGACAGACGGGGAUCCAUGGUCAAUAUACCUAUCUGGAAGAACGAGUGGCCGCCACUGCCAUUGUUUUUUUUUUAAUCAGAAAGUAUGAAGACAUAUUAAGUGUUUUUGCAAAUUGAAAACAAAUAAAUAUAGAGAAAAUCAUCAUAAGAAAAUAUUAACUCUGCAUAUUCCUAAGAAGAAUGGUUACUGUUGAACUUGAAAAAAAUCAUGAUAAUAACCAAUUGCUUAAGUGGUAAAUGGAAAAUUCAUUUAGAUCAGUACCUUCAGUUUGCCAUCAAGAAGACCAUCAAGGGCCAGAAAAUGUGCAACAUGAGAUCCAAAGCCCCCAAUUGAUCCUUCUUCAACCGUUAUCAAAACUUCAUGUGAUUUUGCUAGGCUUCGAAUGAGGGUGUGAUCCAAAGGUUUACAGAAUCUCGCAUCUGCUACUGUUAUAAGCAAGCCAUGGGGUUCCACUAAAGAGGCAGCAGCCAAACAGCUCUGAACUGCUGUCCCAUAACCCAAGAGUGCCACUCUUUCCCCUUCAAUCAAUAUCCUGCCUUUUCCAACCUCAAGAGGAAUGCCUUUGUUUCCUGGUGGCAGCUGAACACCAACACCGUUACCUCUUGGAUAUCGGAAGCAGCUAGGACGAUCAUCUAUGGCGGCAGCGGUGGCAACCAUGUGAAAAAGUUCUGCCUCAUCAGAAGGAGCCAUCACAACCAUGUUAGGGAGACAUGCCAUAAAAGUGACAUCAAAAGCUCCACAAUGUGUGGGACCAUCUGCUCCAACCAGCCCAGCUCUGUCCAUUGCAAAUCUUACUGGCAGCUUCUGCAAAUCCACAUCAUGGACUACCUGGUCAUAAGCCCUCUGCAUGAAAGAUGAGUAGAUUGCACAAAAUGGUUUAAGGCCUUCACAGGCUAAUCCUGCAGCAAAUGUAACUGCAUGCUGUUCCGCUAUUCCAACAUCAAAGCAUCUUGUUGGGAAACGGCGAAGGAAGAGAUUUAAGCCUGUUCCACCUCCCAUUGCAGCAUGAAUUGCAACAAUAUCCUUGUCCACUUCUGCUUCUGCAAUCAAAGCCUCUGCAAAGUAUGUAGUGUAAGACUGUGUAAUAGCACUGCCCUUGAAUUGUUUUCCAGUUGCAGGAUCAAACUUGGUAACCCCAUGGUACUUGUCUGCAGCUUUCUCAGCAUAUGGAUACCCCCGACCUUUCUCAGUGACAACAUGUAUCAAGACUGGACCAGUUGUUUUAGUACCCUUAACCUCUUUGAGAAUAGCUAUAAGAUCAUCUAUGUUGUGGCCAUCAACAGGACCAAUAUAAUAUAAUCCAAGCUCUUCGAAGAGGGUUGAUCCAGAACCACUGAUCAUCCCACGAGCAUAUUCAUCAACCUUUGCUGCCCAUUCAUGCAUGGGUCCACCAAUCUGCUUUGUAACACCCUUAGCAACCUCUCUUAGUUCCCUGAGAGGCCUGUUUGAUUGCAACCUACUAAGAGCACUGCUCAAAGCUCCCACUGGUGGUAUGGGUCCAUCAAGAGUAGCAGUCGGUAAAGAAACUUGUUUGUUGUCAUUAAGAAUAACAAUCAUAUCAGAGUCAAGAUACCCUGCAUUGUUCAUAGCUUCAUAAGCUUGUCCUGCUGUCAUGGCACCAUCACCUAUAACAGCAACUACGUUGUUCUUUUUUCCUUUUAAAUCUCUCCCAACUGCCAUCCCCAAGCCUGCAGAAAUAGUGGUAGAGCUAUGGCCAGUCCCAAAGCAAUCAUAUUCACUCUCUGAUCGCUUCGUGAAACCAGAAAGUCCAUUUGUCUGUCUGAUUGUGUACAUCUUUUCUCUUCUCCCAGUCAGGAUUUUGUGUGGGUAGGACUGAUGACCAACAUCCCACAGAAUCUUGUCUUGAGGAGCAUUGAAAACAUAGUGAAGAGCCACAGUGAGCUCAACAACACCAAGACUUGAUCCUAAGUGACCCCCAGUUCUAGAAACAUUGAAAAUAACAUCGGACCGCAGCUCGUCUGCUAGUUGCUUUAGUUCCUUGAUUGAUAGAUUUUUCAUAUGAAUUGGAUAGUUUGUGGUAUCCAAGAGAGGGGUUGGUGGUCUCUGAGAGUGAUAUUCUCCUCUCUCUGACAGUGAUGCACAAAUCCCACCCGGCCCUUUCUUGCUCUUUGCCUGAUUGAGUCUGCCAAGAGACUGGGCCAACAGAUCUGUUCUCCAUAAGGAACGAGAAGGGACAUAACCGUACUUUUGAAGAUCUGAGAUUGUGGCUUUAUCUACAUGAGCAGGAAAUGAACACGCAGAGAGAGCCAUCACAGAUAGAGAACCAACAGAAGCAAGCAAGCAACAAAAAGAGUUCAAAAACAGUUCGAAAUUGUGAAUAGAGAUAAAAAGAAGAGGAAGAAGAACCCAGAAACAAAAACACAAUGGAGAUUGUGAUUAUGGGUCCGAAUGCACCACUAUUGAGGAGGUGAUUCAGUAUUAAAAUCAGCUUGUGGUGGCCAACAAAGAAGAUGUCGAGAGGGGUUUUAGGAGCG
rnacentral:misc_RNA from 1 species